rnacentral:lncRNA from 1 species
GGUGACUGCUGCUGUUUGGUGGUAUUCGCAGAAUGCUGAUGCCGAAGAGCUCGGGGAAUAAAUUCAGGAGCCAGUGGGUUCAACACAUAAGUUUUCUUUAACUCCAAAGCUUCCAGCUGAGCUUUGAUCUGUUCAAAUGUGAUACCGUGGAGACUUUCAUUCUCAUGACAUAGGGCAAUAAACCUUUCCCAAAAUUUCCUGCAUCUUCCAAUGGAACAUAAAGCAAUGGGAUCUCCCACCACAGCUACCAAGGAUUGUGCUCUUGUAAUGGCAGUAUUGAGAAGUUUGUAAUUAGACAGGAAACCAUAAUCCAAGUCCUCUGUUGAAUCCUCGAGUAACUGCUCUUUCCUUUUAAUUGGUGUUUGCUUAUGUUUGCACGUAUGCCGUGUUCGUACUGUGCUGAGAAACAACACUCUAAACUGCUUUCCCUGAACGUUUAGCACUCUCUCUACACUGACAUCAGACAGUCUUUUUUUCCGAAGUUCAGCCCGAAUUCUGAACACCUGAUCAGCAUAAGGUGUCACGACACCUAUACUGCCAUCAUCCAACUUGCCCCAGGCAACAGGCCAUUUUCUUCUUAACUCCUCAACACGCUCUACUACUUCAAAC